UACGUAGGGGGCAAGCGUUGUCCGGAUUUAUUGGGCGUAAAGAGCGUGUAGGCGGCUAGGUAGGUCCGUUGUGAAAACUCGAGGCUUAACCUCCAGACGUCGACGGAAACCGCGUGGCUAGAGUCCGGAAGAGGAGAGUGGAAUUCCUGGUGUAGCGGUGAAAUGCGUCAGAUAUCGGUGAGGAACACCAUGGCGAAGGCG
rnacentral:rRNA from 1 species